rnacentral:lncRNA from 1 species
CCUUACUUAUGUCUCCUUCCCCUUAACUGAGCCAAAACAAAAUAGCCAAAGAAGUGUUACAAACCAACAAAAAGGAUCUUUCUCGGUAACUCUGAAAUUUUAUAUCCAAUACAUAUAACACAUUUGUUGAAUUGUCACCUACAUUAUUCUGUUCCACACGUGAUGACAACUAAUAGACAAGAUCAGAAUGCUCUGGUUUUGACUAAUGAGUGAGAGCAGAGAAUUUAAACCUAAACUUCAAAACUAAAUUGAGCAAAGGAAUCUUUGAUUGUCUGUACAUUGCUAAUUUUCGUACUCAACUGACUCCAAAGGUUGAAAAGAUUAUAUAUAAACACAUCUAUGAUUGUAAAAAUUUUGCCUUAAACAAAAGGGCACAGCACUGCAAUAAAUUAUAGCAACUUAAAAGGGAUAAUUCCUCACAAUUCGAUCACCUACCCAACUUAACCCAAAGAAGAAGCACGAAGGGAAACUUAGCCAGUUAGAAUAGAAUUCAAUGACGAUGAAAUUCAACAUAAUACGAUACAGUGAGGUUAAUGUUUAAACAACAUAAUAAUGCUAGGGAAUGUACCUAUUCACACAACUAAUCAUCUCAGUUGUUAUUCCAAAUAAAAAACCUAACCACAAACAAAUGGGUUCAAAUUGUACAUAGAAGGCAACAGAAAUUAAUGAUAGUUUCCAAACACAUACCUAUUAAACAAAGAUAACCACAAUUAGUGAUAUGAAAGAUAGAACCGACAGUUUACUGAAAGAAAAAAAUCGGGGAUGAAUGAACAAUUAUAGGUAAAUCAAGUGAACAAGUCACAGAAAAAUUUACCCCAAUAGAUGAAACUUUUCAUAGUAAAAACUCAAAAGAAACGACUUAGAGAAUAGAGUUGAGGAAAACCUAUGACCUGAAACCCGCGAGUGUUGGAAUAUCCCGAGCUCGUGUGAGGUAAUGAGAGAGAAAG